GGGUGGUGAAAUGGCAGACACGCAGGAUUUAGGAUCCUGUGCCGCAAGGCGUGGAGGUUCAAGUCCUCUCCCCGGCA
rnacentral:tRNA from 1 species